rnacentral:rRNA from 1 species
CUUUACUAUAGCUUGGAAUUGUGUUCGGGCUUGCUGUGCGCAGUAUAGGUGGGAGGCGUUGAAGGUAUCCUUGUGGGGAUACUCGAGCCAACAGUGAGAUACCACUCUCAGAAAGCUAGAAUUCUAACUCUUACCGAGGAAAGUUUCAGGUGGGUAGUUUGACUGGGGCGGUCGCCUCCAAAAAAGUAACGGAGGCGUACAAAGGUUACCUCAGACUGGUUGGAAAUCAGUCGAAGAGUGCAAAAGCAGAAGGUAGCUUGACUGCGAGACGGACAAGUCGAGCAGGGUGGAAACACGGUUUUAGUGAUCCGACGGUGCCGAGUGGAAGGGCCGUCGCUCAACGGAUAAAAGUUA